AUGCCUAGCCGGGUGGGCGCUGACGACGCCAGGGGCGGCCCCGGAGUGGGGGAGACCGUGGACGCCAGCGGCGGCGUGCGCGAGAGAGCCGUGCCUCCGGGGAACCGUUCCGCGGCGCGGAAGACCGCGCGGUUCGCGGAGCCCGUGUCCGCGCCGCGCGGGAGCGGCAACGUCGACGACGACGACGGCGACGGCGUGGAGAUCACCUUCGACAUGCGGGACUACACGAACGCGGUGCACCGCGUGAGACCGGUGGCGCGCGGUGAGGACCCGGGCGUGAAGCUGCUGGCGCGGACGCCGGAGAAGCGGGAGUCCUCGUCCGGCUAUGGCGCGCUCAAGAACGCCACGACGCGGAUCCAGCAGGAGACCCGGCGGGUCGCGUCCUUGAAACGCCGGGGAGGCGGCUUCGACAGGUCCAUGCCGUCCGCCCCCGCGCGCGCGCUCGAGGCUCUCAAGUUCGUCAGCGGGACAGACGCCUCCGACGGAUGGACCGACGCCGAGAGGUUCUACGACAGAAAUGCACGCCUCCCCCGCUCCAUGUUCGGCCAGUGCAUCGGUAUGGAAGAGGCCGCGUUCGCCGGCGAGCUGUUCGACACGCUGGGAAGGCGGCGGCGCAUCUCCGGGGACAGCAUCGACAAGGCGGAGCUGCGUGAGUUCUGGGAUCAAAUCUCCGCCCCCAGCUACGAGAGCCGCCUGCAGCUCUUCUUCGACAUGGUGGACAAGGACGCUGACGGGAGGAUCAGCCAGGUGGAGUUCAAACAGAUAAUUAUGUUGAGCGCAUCGGCGAACAAGCUAACGGUGGGCGAACAGGACUCCGAGGAGUGUGCCCGGUUAAUCAUGGAGAAGUUGGACCCCGACAGCCUUGGCUACAUUGAGUUGUACGACCUAGAGACAUUAUUGGUGAAAUUGUCUUCCACGACCAACGGGGAUGAACCGAGCAAGCCGAUGGCGGAACCCAAUCCUCUCAGGCGGUGGUACCGCCACGCCAGAUACUUCCUCAAGGACAAUUGGCGCCCCUGCUGGGCCGCGUCCUUGAACCGCCGGGGAGGCGGCUUCGACAGGUCCAUGCCGUCCGCCCCCGCGCGCGCGCUCGAGGGUCUCAAGUUCGUCAGCGGGACAGACGCCUCCGACGGAUGGACCGACGCCGAGAGGUUCUUCGACAGAAAUGCACGCCUCCCCCGCUCCAUGUUCGGCCAGUGCAUCGGUAUGAAAGAGGCCGCGUUCGCCGGCGAGCUGUUCGACACGCUGGGAAGGCAGCGGCGCAUCUCCGGGGACAACAUCGACAAGGAAGAGCUGCUCGAGUUCUGGGAUCAAAUCUCCGACCGCAGCUACGUGGGCCGCCUGCAGCUCUUCUUCGACAUGGUGGACAAGGACGCUGACGGGAGGAUCAGCCAGGUGGAGUUCAAACAGAUAAUUACGUUGAGCGCGUCAGCGAACAAGCUAAAGGUGGGCGAACAGGACUCCGAGGAGUGUGCCCGGUUAAUCAUGGAGAAGUUGGACCCCGACGGCCUUGGCUACAUCGAGUUGUACGACCUAGAGAAACUAUUGGUUAAACCGUCGAGCGAGUUGAUGCCGAUCGAGAUGACGACCAAUGGCGAUGAACCGAGCAAGCCGAUGGUGGAACUCAAUCCUCUCAGGCGGUGGUACCGCCAUGCCAGAUACUUCCUGAAGGACAAUUGGCGCCGCUGUUGGGUGAUGCUCCUGUGGCUCUCCAUCUGCGUCGGUCUCUUUGCUUGGAAGUUCGUGCAGUACCGCCAUCGUCCGGUGUUCCAGGUGAUGGGCUACUGCGUGUGCGUGGCCAAGGGUGGUGCCGAGACGCUCAAGUUCAACAUGGCGCUCACCCUCCUCCCCGUGUGCCGCAACGUCAUCACAUGGCUCCGGAGCCGCACCACCGCUGGGCGGUUCGUGCCGUUCAACGACAACCUCAACUUCCACAAGGUGAUCGCCGUGGGGAUCUCCGUCGGUGCCGGUUUGCAUGUCGUCUCCCACCUAGCGUGCGACUUCCCGCGGCUAUUGCACGCCACCGACGACGAGUACGAGCCCAUGAAGCAGUUCUUCGGCGACGUGAAGCCGCCCAACUAUUGGUGGUUCGUGAAGGGAACAGAGGGGUGGACGGGGCUGGUGAUGUUGGUGCUCAUGGCCAUCGCCUUCACGCUCGCCACGGGGCGGUUCCGCAAUAGGACACCCUGGCUCCCCAAGCCCAAGAAGCAGGAUGACAACCUCCCCCAGCACAAGAAGCGAGACAACCUCCCAGGGUUGCUCCACCGCCUCACCGAGUAUGGCAGCGCCUCACGCAACCGGCUCACUAUGCUCUUCUACACCUUGCUCAAUCGUUUCACUGGGUACAACGCCUUCUUGUACACACACCACCUCUUCGUCAUCGUCUACGCGCUGCUCAUCGUCCAUGGCCACUUCCUCUACCUCACCAAGAAGUGGCAAAAGAAGACGACGUGGAUGUACCUGGCGGUGCCGAUGAUCGUGUACGCGUGCGAGCGACUGACCCGGACGCUGCGGUCGAGGGUGCGGGCGGUGCACAAAGUCAAGGCGGUCGUGCACCCGGAGCCGGCGGCCCUGCUGUCGCUGCACUUGUCCAAGCCAGAGGGGUUCAGGUACAAGAGCGGACAGUACAUCUUCGUCAAAUGCCCCAACGUCUCGUCAUUCGAGUGGCACCCCUUCUCCAUCACGUCGGCGCCGGAGGACGACUACGUCAGCGUCCACAUCAAGGAGAUGGGCGACUGGACCAAAGACCUCAGGGACGCCUUCUUCAAGGUUUGCGAGCCGUUGACGGAGGAGAAGAAGACCGAGAUUCUCCGAGUAGAGUACGACCAUGACAAGGCCAUGCCAACUCUGGGAGGUCGACUAAAGUACCCGACGGUGCUGAUUGACGGGCCGUACGGCGCGCCGGCGCAGGACUACAAGCAGUACGAGACCUUGCUACUGGUGGGACUCGGCAUCGGAGCCACGCCCAUGAUCUCGAUCAUCAAGGACAUCAUCAACAACAUGAAGCGGCUCCCCGGGGACAUCGAGUCAGGCAACCCUAGCGACGGGAGCAGGUCAUCAUCGUUCCGGACUCGCCGAGCCUACUUCUACUGGAUCACCCGGGAGCAAGAAUCCCUGGAGUGGUUCCAUGGGAUCAUGGACGAGGUGGCGGAGAUGGACAAGCAGGGCGUCAUUGAGCUCCACGUCCACUGUACCAGCGUCCACGGGGAGGGUGACGCCCGGUCGGCGGUCAUCACUGUGGCCCAGUCCCUCAACCACGACAAGCAUGGCAUUGACAUCAUCUCCGGCACUCGAGUCAAGACCAGCUUCGGCCGAGCAAACUGGAGCGAAGUCUACCGACACAUCGCCCGGCAAAAUCAAAGAAAACGUGUCGGAGUGUUCUACUGCGGCAUGCCGGCACUGAUGAAAGAGCUGCGCAAGCUUGCGAAGGUUUCCUCGAGAGAAACAAGCACCACAUUCGAGUUCCACAAGGAGAACUUUUAG
rnacentral:rRNA from 1 species